rnacentral:tRNA from 1 species
GGAGAGCUGGCCGAGUGGUCGAAGGCACCUGACUCGAAAUCAGGCGUACCGGUGACGGUACCGUAGGUUCGAAUCCUACGCUCUCCG